rnacentral:rRNA from 1 species
CGCCAAGGAGUCUAACAUGUGCGCAAGUCAUUGGGUGAUAAAACCUAAAGGCAAAACAAAAAUGAAAAAAGCUUAAGCUUUAUUAGGGAGGAUGACUAUUUAACUAGAAAUAUUUCUUUUUAGUAGUAGUCCGCACUCCCGGGGCGUCUAUUACUCAUUGCGAGUAAAGGCGCACCAAGAGCGUACACGUUGGGACCCGAAAGAUGGUGAACUAUGCUUGGCCAGGAUGAAGCCAGGGGAAACUCUGGUGGAGGUCCGCAGCGAUUCUGACGUGCAAAUCGAUCGUCUGAGCUAAGUAUAGGGGCGAUAGACUUAUCGAAUUAUCUAGUAGCUGGUUCCCUCCGAAGUUUCCCUCAGGAUAGCUGGUGCCGAUGAUGAUAAAUGAGUCUCAUUCGGUAAAGCGAAUGAUUAGAGGCCUUGGGGUCGAAACGACCUCAACCUAUUCUCAAACUUUAAAUGAAUGAGAGCUUUGGCUUGCUUAAAAAGUGAAGCCAAAGACUCGGAUCUAGGUGCCAAGUGGGCCAAUUUUGGUAAA